rnacentral:misc_RNA from 1 species
GUCCCUUAACCUCAUAAAGAGUCUUCAUAGAAGAGGAUUGGUAGAUCCUUCCUUUAAUGGAAUGGUGUCCUCUGUGUCCUAAGAAAGAAUUGGUUGAGUAACAUAGCUCAGCUUCAAGGCCAGUCUCCUGACAGUGGAUCUUAACAUUGCCAACCCAAUCAAGACCAGGCGGUAGAAAUUUAAUCAACAAACUUGGUGCAUUCAUCACAUAAGUUUCUCCAUGAU